GUCCUUGUGCAUGUCGCCCUUGGGUUGCCCCAUGGACACAAUGCUGUCCUUCCCUUGGUUCGUACUGGGGAUGCCCUGAUAUUCCCCUUCAUAGAUUUCAUCAUCUUCGUCAUGGCCCUCGGUAGCUUCACUGGAGCCUUCGUCAUCAUUGGCCUCCCCAUUAUAGGUCUCUCCAGACUGAUGACCAUGUCAGACACUGCACAGGAGCGGCUUCCCUAGCACGACAGCACCAGGCAUGCCAGUGAGAAGAUUAAGGAUGAGAUUAUGCAAGUAGUCCAAGAUCACAAAGCUUGUCAGAGGAGGUGCUGAGACUCCAGCCCAGAGAUGGGAAAACAUACCUACAUAAGCUUACUCCAGAGCUCAACCACCUACGCUACAUCUAACAGUUCUUAGUAGAAACGUAAGUCUGUGAGGGAAACAGAGUUUCCUCAAAACUGGGGUAGAAGAUAGAUCCACCUCCCAGGGUCU